rnacentral:rRNA from 1 species
GAUGAACGCUGGCGGCGUGCCUAAUACAUGCAAGUCGAGUGAACAGACGAGGAGCUUGCUCCUCUGACGUUAGCGGCGGACGGGUGAGUAACACGUGGAUAACCUACCUAUAAGACUGGGAUAACUUCGGGAAACCGGAGCUAAUACCGGAUAAUAUAUUGAACCGCAUGGUUCAAUAGUGAAAGACGGUUUUGCUGUCACUUAUAGAUGGAUCCGCGCCGCAUUAGCUAGUUGGUAAGGUAACGGCUUACCAAGGCAACGAUGCGUAGCCGACCUGAGAGGGUGAUCGGCCACACUGGAACGGAGACACGGUCCAGACUCCUACGGGAGGCAGCAGUAGGGAAUCUUCCGCAAUGGGCGAAAGCCUGACGGAGCAACGCCGCGUGAGUGAUGAAGGUCUUCGGAUCGUAAAACUCUGUUAUUAGGGAAGAACAAAUGUGUAAGUAACUAUGCACGUCUUGACGGUACCUAAUCAGAAAGCCACGGCUAACUACGUG